GGACGGGUGAGUAACGCGUGAGGAACCUGCCUUGAAGAGGGGGACAACAGUUGGAAACGACUGCUAAUACCGCAUAACGCAUAGGGGUCGCAUGAUCUUUAUGCCAAAGAUUUAUUGCUUCAAGAUGGCCUCGCGUCUGAUUAGCUAGUUGGCGGGGUAACGGCCCACCAAGGCGACGAUCAGUAGCCGGACUGAGAGGUUGAACGGCCACAUUGGGACUGAGAUACGGCCCAGACUCCUACGGGAGGCAGCAGUGGGGAAUAUUGGGCAAUGGGCGCAAGCCUGACCCAGCAACGCCGCGUGAAGGAAGAAGGCUUUCGGGUUGUAAACUUCUUUUAAGAGGGAAGAGUAGAAGACGGUACCUCUAGAAUAAGCCACGGCUAACUACGUGCCAGCAGCCGCGGUAAUACGUAGGUGGCAAGCGUUGUCCGGAUUUACUGGGUGUAAAGGGCGUGCAGCCGGGUCUGCAAGUCAGAUGUGAAAUCCAUGGGCUCAACCCGUGAACUGCAUUUGAAACUGUAGAUCUUGAGUGUCGGAGGGGCAAUCGGAAUUCCUAGUGUAGCGGUGAAAUGCGUAGAUAUUAGGAGGAACACCAGUGGCGAAGGCGGAUUGCUGGACGAUAACUGACGGUGAGGCGCGAAAGUGUGGGGAGCAAACAGGAUUAGAUACCCUGGUAGUCCACACUGUAAACGAUGAAUACUAGGUGUGCGGGGACUGACCCCC
rnacentral:rRNA from 1 species